GAUGAACGCUGGCGGCGUGCCUAAUACAUGCAAGUCGAACGCUGAAGGAAGGAGCUUGCUCUUUCCGGAUGAGUUGCGAACGGGUGAGUAACGCGUAGGUAACCUGCCUGGUAGCGGGGGAUAACUAUUGGAAACGAUAGCUAAUACCGCAUAACAGUAGAUGUUGCAUGAUAUCUACUUAAAAGGUGCAAUUGCACCACUACCAGACGGACCUGCGUUGUAUUAGCUAGUUGGUGAGGUAACGGCUCACCAAGGCGACGAUACAUAGCCGACCUGAGAGGGUGAUCAGCCACACUGGGACUGAGACACGGCCCAGACUCCUACGGGAGGCAGCCGUAGGGAAUCGUCAGGCAUGGGCGGAAGUCUGACCGAGCAACGCCGCGUGAGUGAGGAAGGUUGUCGGAUCGUAGAGCUCUGUUGUAGGAGAAGAACGAGUGUGAGAGUGGAAAGUUCACACUGUGACGGUAUCUGACCAGAAAGGGACGGCUAACUACGUG
rnacentral:rRNA from 1 species